rnacentral:misc_RNA from 3 species
AAACCUUCAAGCUCAGCUUGGUGAUGGGUGACUGUCCCCUCCCUUCGCGGGGGGACUCGCCUCAAAAACAUUGGCGGCCGGUACAUUGGCUUCGAGCGCAGCAGAAACGCGGUCUCGAGCCCGGUGGAUCGGCUCCCAUAAGCCUCAUUCUUUA